UUGAAUUGAAUUGCCUAUCAUCCCAGGUUUGACCCAACUGAUACCAAAAUCUAAAAUUUUAAAAAAAAAAUGAUCAAAAGCGAAUUGGAGUAUUAUUCAUCGUAUCAUGUAGUCAGAUCCAACGGUGACAAAACCAAUAAAAAAUUACUGCAGAAAACAUGGACCAACCAACCAACCAUAUAUAUCUCGAUCCAUAAUAAGAACCACCUGCAAGUUGCCCAUCCUUAAUUCUAAGUCUCUCUCAACACAUUCUCUCAUAUAUCAUUCUUCAAAAUUAAGAAAAGAAAAAAAAUGAAUCACUUUCAUUUUUUCCUCUUCAUGAUUUUCUCUCUCCUCUUCCUUACUACUACUUAUCCGUCGAGGAUUUGCGCCAUCCGGCCGGUCCGGGGCCAUUUUCCCAGCCCAGCUGCUGCUAGAGAGGUACAAGUUUUUCACCCUGAUGUAAAUAUUGUUCCGGUAGCUACGGGUUUCGAGUCCGGGAAGAGAAAAGUUCCCACAGGAUCAAAUCCACUGCACAACAAGCGAUAGCUAGCUAGCUAGCGAGCUUAAUUACUUAAGUUGGAGCUUAAUUUGGGAAUAUAUAUAUAUAUAUAUAUAUAUAUAUAUAUNN
rnacentral:lncRNA from 1 species